rnacentral:lncRNA from 1 species
UUCUGAUGUUGUUCUAUUUGUUCUCCCUCAGAUCUUUGCAAUACAAAGGAGGAACCAGCUGAUGCUGAAUGAAAAUAUAAAGAACAUAUAACAGAGAACUGUUCUGGAACCCAGGCUGAUCCCCUGACUUCUGACUUUACUGAACCACUGCAGUAUUUGUUGGUGAUAAAAAGCUACUUCUGGUUAAGUUAUCAUCAUUAGUGCCUAUUAAGCCAAGAAGAGAGGGAGGGCUGUGUUUUGUCCACUUCCUGAAUGCUGCGGUCUUGGCAUAAGAUGGAAGAUCACUGAGAGCCUGAGUCCCCAAACCUGUUUUACCCUUUUCAAAAAAUGCUUUCUUUAUGUUGCUUAACUGCUUGGCCCCCAGGGCAUCCAGCUGUUGGUGCGUUGCUUGAGUAAAGUCCUGAAGGAGUGAGUGGAGCAUAAGAAAUCUUUUAAUACAUAUUUUAUAUACUUCAGAUCACUAAUAGGAAUUACACAAACAGAUCAAUUUGAAUAUCUAUCCCUGAGGCUAUAUAUCUGUUAUGAAUUUUUCUGGUUACAGCAGAGAUCAAAAAACUAAUACUGUGCUUUUAAACACACCUGACUGAUCAAAAAGAAAAAAAAAGAAAAAAGGAAGUAUUUUGCACUGGUUUUGUGUAUUUUACUUUAUUAUUACUUUUUCCUUUUUGAAUUCUUUUUAUCAGCUUUAUUGAUAUAUAAUUGCCAAAUAAAAAUAGUGUCUAUUUAAUGGGUAGCUGUGAUGUUUUUGAUGUAUGCAUAUAUUGUAAAUGAUCACUGCGAUCAAAUCAGCUAACAUUAGCUUGUUUUUAUAUAUUUUUUGCUUUUGUAUAUUGAAGUUAGAUGAGAAAAAUUAACCUUGGUUCUAUGAUUGUCAUCAAAAGGUAUCUGAAAUCAUUUAGAAAACAGAGAGAAUAAAUCAUCUAAAAGGGAAAGAAGUGGUAUUUAGAAGAAAAACUUGCCACGAAUUCAUUUUUUAAAUAAAGCAUGCCUCUUC